rnacentral:rRNA from 1 species
CAGCCGCCACGGUAAUACGUAGGUGGCAAGCGUUGUCCGGAAUUAUUGGGCGUAAAGCGCGCGCAGGUGGUUUAAUAAGUCUGAUGUGAAAGCCCACGGCUCAACCGUGGAGGGUCAUUGGAAACUGUUAAACUUGAGUGCAGGAGAGAAAAGUGGAAUUCCUAGUGUAGCGGUGAAAUGCGUAGAGAUUAGGAGGAACACCAGUGGCGAAGGCGGCUUUUUGGCCUGUAACUGACACUGAGGCGCGAAAGCGUGGGGAGCAAACAGGAUUAGAUACCCCAGUAGUCCCUGUCUCUUAUAA